CACGUAGGCGGCUCGUUAAGUGCGGAGUGAAAUCCCACGGCUCACCCGUGGAACUGCUUUGCAUACUGGCGGGCUCGAGGACGGUAGAGGAGAGCGGAACUCUUGGUGGAGCGGUGAAAUGCGUAGAUAUCAAGAGGAACACCAAAGGCGAAGGCAGCUCUCUGGUCCGUUUCUGACGCUGAGGUGCGAAAGCCAGGGUAGCGAACG
rnacentral:rRNA from 1 species